UAGUUCAGCGUACAUUUUUCUACUGUCUUGCCUUUAAUAUUUAGCGUUAUAAAUAAUUUAAGCCGUAUUUUAUGUCGGACACGUACAGAAUAUUUAAACUUCGUUUUAAAACUUCUUUCUGUGAGAGAAAACGUGACUAUUUUGCUUCUUGUGAAAACUAAUUUCACUUGCAGACAUUUUAAAAAAUCAUUUCAUAUUCACAAUAAUACUAAUUUAUUUCAAAGAUAAGCAUUAAAUAUGCAUAAAAUACUUUCAGGGCCAUAGAAUUAUCGGCACCAUUUUUUCCAUGUUAGAUCAAUCCGCGCUUUCCACCGCUUUCAGCCAGCUACGUCGGACUUUUUUUUCCCGUCGAACUUAUCAGUGCAGAGUUCAGAGUUAGAGAGUGGCUUUGUGUCGUCCCUGAAUACGUUCUUGCUGAAAUCCAGACCAAACUUAAUGGGUUAUCAGUCUGUGUGAGAUUCGACGCGGAAGCGUUUUGUCCCGGUGGGGGUGAGCAGCACGUUGGCACCGGAGCUGCAGCAGCAGCACAUGCUAGCAGCUCUGAACUGGGGAGUUGUUUUAUUGAGAACAGCUAACUUCGUCCAUGUUUGCAGCUAAUUACCAAGCUAGCUGGAUGAACUGUUGCUGAAGAAGCCGCAAGCAUACGCCACACUCACUGGAAGACUUUAAAGAAGAGCUGCUAAAAAGGACAGAGAAGAUUUUGAAGCUGGACUUCAUGAAGAAAUGAUGACGAUUGCCACUAUUGCAAACCAGGCCACUCAGUCUAACAGAAAAGCAGCCAUUGUAAUUGAGGGAACAAAACUUCUGGAGGUAAACAACAUCCCAAGGAGCUGCGCUUUAUUGAUGGGCUUAAUUUAUGCUCUUAAUCUGAGCUAUGCAAAGAAACUUAAAAGCACUUUUGAAGUAUUUCAGAAGUUGUUCUUUGGCCUUGAUGGACAGAGGCCCAGUGCAAAAGUGAUGAGCCUCAAGAACAGUAUCUUCUGAAAACAAGACCCAGUGGUUUUGCAUAUUUUAGUUGUCACAGUUGUGUGAAACGUGUUGAAAUAUGUUAAGAAUGUUUUAUAUGUUCUUUGGACCCUUUUAUUUAAUAUUAAGAAUGGUGUACUGUUGAAUAACCACCCUUACUGUUAAUCUUGUGCAACUCCAGAUGUUCAGCAAUUCUGGGACUCUUCUCAAUCCCAAAGAUCUCAUUUCGCUACUUCCAAGCAUUCUUGGAAGUUUAGCAGAGGCAGUCUUUGAGUACACAGCUUACCCAUCAAACGAUCAAAUAUGUCAAGUUGCAGAAGCUCUGGUCAAAAAACAUCCAAAAACGGUUAAGAUGUCUUUAAAUUCAGAAAUGUGUGGAAUGUUUAAAAAACUAUAUAUGAAAGUUAGUGUCUGCAGUUAUGCACAAAACAGAAUUCUAAAAGAGUUUUAACUCAUGUAACACAUUUGGUGCUGUGAUUUACAAUUUAUAAAAGGUAUGGCUUUGUUUAAACUUGUUAAAACUGAACUGUUCAGCUGUAUUUGAAAGUUGUGAGCAAGUAAAAGCAACUCAUUUAUGUUUGUUUUUUAUUUUUUUAUUGUGCUCUGAAAUAAACAGUUAAAUUUCCCAGCA